GACGAACGCUGGCGGCGUGCUUAACACAUGCAAGUCGAACGGAAAGGCCCUGCUUUUGUGGGGUGCUCGAGUGGCGAACGGGUGAGUAACACGUGAGUAACCUGCCCUUGACUUUGGGAUAACUUCAGGAAACUGGGGCUAAUACCGGAUAGGAGCUCCUGCUGCAUGGUGGGGGUUGGAAAGUUUCGGCGGUUGGGGAUGGACUCGCGGCUUAUCAGCUUGUUGGUGGGGUAGUGGCUUACCAAGGCUUUGACGGGUAGCCGGCCUGAGAGGGUGACCGGCCACAUUGGGGCUGAGAUACGGCCCAGAUUCCUACGGGAGGCAGCAGUGGGGAAUAUUGCACAAUGGGCGGAAGCCUGAUGCAGCAACGCCGCGUGCGGGAUGACGGCCUUCGGGUUGUAAACCGCUUUCGCCUGUGACGAAGCGUGAGUGACGGUAAUGGGUAAAGAAGCACCGGCUAACUACGUG
rnacentral:rRNA from 1 species